GACAGAGGGUGCAAACGGUGUUCGGAAUUACUGGGCGUAAAGCGCGUGUAGGCGGCGCGGAAAGUCGGAUGUGAAAGCCCUGGGCUUAACCUGGGAAGUGCAUUCGAAACUGCCGUGCUUGAGUUCUGGAGAGGAAGGCGGAAUUCUCGGUGUAGAGGUGAAAUUCGUAGAUAUCGAGAGGAACACCGGUGGCGAAGGCGGCCUUCUGGACAGUGACUGACGCUGAGACGCGAAAGCGUGGGGAGCAAACAGG
rnacentral:rRNA from 1 species